GUAUUGUGAGACCGCCCAUUGAAUGUUGAAAUCCAAAUUCUUCCUCAGCUUUCUGAAGCAAUUCCUGGAACGAACUGUGAUUCAGGUAUGCAAUUGGAACUACGUAUCGUUUCUUCUCUGUUUCUCCGACGUAAACUGCUAAAUGUCCUUUUGGUACAUCUGAUAUUUGAUUCCGAGUAACAACAGAGUGUAGUUUGUGAAAUUGCUUCAAACUGGGAAUAAUUGACGGUAAACGAAUAAUACCCAUCACUAGAUCUUUGAUUUUGAAGAUAAGUUUUGGUAUUUGAUGGAUUGGAACUUGUUGAGAGGAAUAAUUUUAUGCACUGAAGGUGUUUGAUGAUUUGACUGACUUGUUCUAGUCUAUAUUUAUAGUGGCUGCUUGCAAAUUGCAAUAUGUUGCGUGCCACGGCAGGUCAAUUGGUUCCAUGUGAGAGAGGCCCUACUUCACAUGCUUCGUAUUCUUACUUGAUAUAAGUAGGUAGUGCGGUAUGGGUUGUAAUAGUUCCAAUGCGUGUUGCAUCGUAAAUAGGUGUUCUUAUAAUGGAAAAAUAUACGUAUAAGAUUUUAAUGUACGGAGCGCGUGCAAGGUUCUGGAAGUUGCGCAAAGACUAGAGUAAAGAGCUAAGACUGUAGUACACACUAACUAAUAGAGGUGCCAAAAUGAGCGGACUUUUGUCAAAUGAGUUAGAUCAAUUAAUGAGUUAAAUAAAGGUUAUAAUUCAACAUGAACUAACCUUUUGUAUAGUGAUAGCAAAUGUAAUUUUUAUAAAAAUACUAGUUUUAAUUUCGUAUAUUUGGAUUGCACCUUGACUGAUCACGUUGUACUAUUUUGAGUCUUUUGACACCUUAAUUUGAUAAGUUAUUUCGAAUAUUCUGUUGAGAUAAAUAGGUCAUUACUCAACGCGUUUAAACUUAGAUAGAUUGAGCGGAUUAUAUUUUGACACCUCUUAAGUUUUGGCCAAACUAAUUAGUUAGGACUUUGAACUAAUUAGUUGCCAAUUUUAGGGAGAACAAUGGUCCUUUUGGAACAUGAAUACAAUUACUUGAAGAGUUUGUUCUACUCUACCAUCCACUCGUUUUUAUCUAUUCCUGAAUUUUGGUGAUGACGGAUGGCCAUAAGAAGGUUAUAUCUAUACCACUAUUCUCCCAUUGUUUCCACUUUAGACAUGUAUAUGUUUAUCCAUAUAUAUAUUAUUGUUUGUGCCAAAAAUAAAAAUAGUAUCACAACAUGGGCACUUUGGCCAUGCUGCCUUCUUGUGAUCUUGUGGUUGGUGAUUGGUGAAUUAAGUUAAGAGUCCUUAGAAGUACGUGUCUAAACAUAAUAUUUGGUGCAAAUUCCAACCUCUAAAUUCAUUGGCUUACAAGCUUUUUUUACAUGGAAGUAACUGCCCACAUUCAUGUGAUUUGGUAAUGCUUAAGCCAUUAUUUCCACUUGUGCUAAUUAUUAUCGGUGUUGAAUUCUCUAAUUAGUUUUCCAACUAGUGGCAAAUGGCAACUUGAAUGAAAAUAGUAGUAUUUCUAUGAGCAGUAACUUUACUCCGUUAUUUAAAUGAUAAAAUGUAUAAGUACUUAAAUUUUUACUCCGUAGGAUACGUGAAAAUAUAUAUUUUGAGUGUGAGACUCGAACUCAAAAUUUCUAUAUGCUUUUAUAUCAUAUUGAAUGGUCUAAUAACUUAUAAGUAUAUAUUAGGUUCUGAACAAGAAAGGAAAUAUCUUGACCACUACUUCAAUAUAGAAGUGCUUUGACAUCUUCUAUACUAAAUUUGUGACCCAAAUCUAGACAAUUGAACAAGCUCACUAUACUGAACUUUUGAACUUUAAUCUUUUGUGCAAAACUAAUUUCUGUCCACAAUUUAUGCUUGAUGGUCAACAAAAACAUUUGCCUAGUGAAUUUUCCGAAACAAGGAUAUAUUUUCUUUUAAAAAUUAAGUGGGGUCAAAAAAAUCAAGGCCACCUCUUUUAGGGUGAUUUGUGAACUAAACCCCAAAUUGGUUAGUAUAUUUAUUGUUCUUUAUGCUAAGUGUUUCUUCAUUUUUUGUUUUUUUUUUGGUUUCACAAACGGUGUUUGAAGCCCGUAUUGGAGUUUUGUGUAAAUCUGGAUCGUGCACUGUAGCUUCAACAUGAUUUUCUCCAUAUCCAGGCUGAAAAUCUCAUCACUACAUCACAAUCCAUGUUGGUACCAAGUAUUCCUUCUUGAUAAUGAAACAGAAUGGUUGCUAACUAGUUUAAGUUGACCUCACAGGCUGUUCUAAGAUUUCAAUUUAUUGAGGUUUAAGGUUUGAGGACAAUGAAGAAUGUUAAAAAAAUUGAUUGUAUAUUUUGCUUUCCAAUCCUCUGAACAAUAUUAACCAGAGGAAACUUUGAAGAUAUAAAAUUUACAGCUCUUGCGUGACAAGAGGAAAAAAAUAAUCAAAAUAAAAGAAAGAACACUUGUUCAUAUCAUAAACAAGUGUUCAAUCGAGAAGUGACAUGAAAAAAUGCAUCCUCAUUGCAAGGUAUUGUGAGACCCCCCAUUGAAUGUUGAAACCCAAAUUCUUCCUCUGCUUUCUGAAGCAAUUCCUGGAACGAAAUUUGAUUCAAGUAUGCAAUUGGAACCACGUAUCGCUUCUUGUUGUCUGUUUCUCCUACGUAAACCGCAAAAUGUCCUUUUGGUACAUUAUUUGAAAUUUGAUUCCUCAUAAGAACAGAGUGUAGUUUGUGGAAUUGCUUCACACUUGAAAUAAUGGAUGGCAAACGAAUAAUACCCAUAACUAGAUAGUGUUAUGACUGAAAACUGCUACUUGUUGUGAAGAAUAAUCCACUUUAAGGUGUUAGAUAAUUUGACUGACUUGUUCUGAAGUUUGUAAAUUUAAGGUUAAUAUUUAUAGUGAUCUGCUUGCAGGUCAGUUGUCCUUGUGGACUAUAUAAUUGAUGGCAUGUGAAAAAGGGCCUACUUCACAUGGUGAGUACAUUCCCAAUUCCCAAUUGAUCAGCAAUAUAGUAUUCUUUCCAAGUAUAGCAUAGUGAUGAGGGUGUCCAUAAAGUGGUAAUGUAUUUACCACUAUUCUCCCAUUGUUUCCACUUUGGACAAUACAAUAUACAUUAUCUCCCCCCCACCAAAUUGCAACUCCCAUGCUGCCUUAUUGUUGUUGAGGUUCUCCACGAAAGUGCAAGUCCUUACAAGUACAAGUAGUUUCUGAAGUCACUACGUAUAUAUUUCUAUAUUCCAUAGUUAUGAAGUCAUUAUUUAUCUCUGCUUUAUAUCAUUUCA
rnacentral:lncRNA from 1 species